rnacentral:rRNA from 1 species
UACGUAGUGUGCAAGCGUUAAUCGGAAUUACUGGGCGUAAAGCGUACGCAGGCGGCUUUGCAAGACAGGUGUGAAAUCCCCGGGCCUAACCUGGGAACUGCAUUUGUGACUGCAUGGCUAGAGUUUGUCAGAGGGGGGUGGAAUUCCACGUGUAGCAGUGAAAUGCGUAGAUAUGUGGAGGAACACCGAUGGCGAAGGCAGCCCCCUGGGAUGUGACUGACGCUCAUGUACGAAAGCGUGGGGAGCAAACAGG